AAAGAAAGAAAGAAAGAAAGAAAGAAAAGGAUCAGACAGUUGCCCUGCUACACUCAUUGUUAUGCACACAAGGUGAGAGGGAGGCGACACCAUUAGAACCAGAAACAUUAAAGAUAAGCAGACAAGAGCCCAAAGCACCGAACGCAAAUGGAAAUAGAAAUAAAUGUGCAUGUGAUACAGCAUUCUCUAACAAGAAGUCUAUGAAGACUCAGGCAAAGCUGGCAUUUGCUGUAGGAGAAAGAAGUGAAACGUUUACCUCCAUCUGCCUUUGGAACGUAUGGCUGCCUCCUUGCUGUGUCCUCACAGUCUUUCCUGUGUGGGGAUGCAUCCUGCUGUCUCUGUGUACGUCCACAUUUCCUCUUCUUAUAAGGACACCAAGUCAAAAUGGAUUAGGGCCUCAUUUUAACUUAAUCCCCUCUUUAAUGCGCCUAUCUCUUAGUCAUAUUUUGAGGGACUGGGCUUUAACACACGGAUUUGAGGGAAACACAAUGUAGCUCAUAACAACAGCAUAGCUUUUGAGUUUUUGCACAUUGCAGGACCAAGUUUAUUUUCUUUCCAGACCAUGCCAUACAGCUUCCUUCUAAAGAUUGCAUAAGAUAAAUUACAUAUUAAUUUUGUAUAUCGUACUACAGGAUUCCUGGUGAUAUUUAAAACUUUGUGAAUUUUCAACAUACCCUAAAAAGAUCUCUGAAUCUCCUUACAUGAACGUAGUUUGACAGUUUGAGAGAGAGCUGCGUUCAGACCUCUUUUCCUAAAGUUUUAUUACUUAUUUUAGAGAUAGCCUGUGAUAAAGUUUAUUUUUAUUUCAAGUCUCUAAUAGACUUUGUUUUCAGAUAACUUAAAAAUUGUCCUUUAUUGGAGAUUGUUUUAUCACUACAGAUAUUUUCACAUAUAUAAUACCAUGCUUAUUGACAGC